rnacentral:rRNA from 1 species
GACGAACGCUGGCGGCGUGCUUAACACAUGCAAGUCGAACGGUGAAGCGCCUUCCUUUUUGGUUGGUGUGGUUGAGUGGCGAACGGGUGAGUAACACGUGAGUAACCUGCCCCCUUCUUUUGGAUAACCGCAUGAAAGUGUGUCUAAUACGGGAUAUCCUGCGUCUGUCGCAUGAUGGGUCUGGGUCAGAUAUUGUUUCGGUGGGGGCUGCUCUCGCGGCCUAUCAGCUUGUUGGUGGGGUGAUGGCCUACCAAGGCGGUGGGGGGUAGCCGGCCUGGGAGGGUAGACGGGCAGAGAGGGAGUGAGACACGGUCGAGACUGAGAUGCGAGGCAGAAUUGGGGAAGAGGGAACAAUGGGGGCAAGCGUGAUGCGGGGAGGCGGCGUGAGGGAUGGAGGCGUGCGGGGGGUGAACCUCUUUGGGUAGUAAAGCAGGUCUGCCUGGUAUGUGGGUGGAUUGACGGUAACGGGAUAAGAAGCGCCGGCUAACUACGUG